rnacentral:lncRNA from 10 species
CUCAAAGAUAAAGUGUUUAUCUCUGAGCAGAUAAACACAAGCCCAUUCUGUACUAGAUCAGGAGAGAGAAUGUUGGUUCAAAUCUAAGAUGCAGAGCAGAUUGGUUAAGGACUAAGUUAGUUGAUCAUUUCCUAAGACAAGACUAGGACUAGCAGCAAAGGUGGUAUGGAUACUAUCAAGAUGAGAGGAGAAGUGGACAAACUGAAAACUAGUUCAAGGUCUAACUUUACAAACAUGACCUACCCACUGUGGCAUCCCUCUUACGCUUAGCCUGAUGUGCUUUGGUAGAGGAAGCACCACCCAUAUGAGUCUGCAUUUGCCAAAGGUGCCUUAGAAGAAAGGGAAAGAACUGGAACAGGUCAGCAAGUCCCAUGCUAAUGGGACUCAUGUCAAGCUGGGUCAAGUUGGGGUGUAGAUCUCUCAUUGAGAGCUAAAGCAUGGCGCUAAAAUAAGGGAAAGCAGAGACAUAGAAAACAAUCAAAUCUGAAGAAACCAGAGGAUGGAGAUGGAGGCUGUAGAACAAGGUGGGAAUGGAAGCUGGUGGAGAACAAUAAGGUCCUGCUGAGGAUCCCUGGUGCCCAGUAGGGAACACCGUGAGGAGGAGGAUUAAGAAAGGCACCCUUUCCACUGAUUUGCAUCGCCAUUUGUACAUGGAGUUUGGCUACAGCAAAAUCCGUUGCUAUCUCACCAGCUACAAGAAGCAAAGAACGAAUUGCAAUUCAUUUUUGUGCUCUAGGACCCGGUUGAGGAACACACCCUUCAAAGUGCUAAUGCUGUUCCAGCUCAGCAGACACCUCGUCUCGGGAAAGCCAUUAGAAACCCCCAAAAUACUACAUUUUUCUCCUGAGCUUUGAACCCUGAACCCAGCAUUCUGAGAGUGGGAACCAGAAAUGUGCAUUUGAAAAGACUCCCCAGGCAAUUCUGAUGAGGAGCCAGUGAGCCUGCUGAACCAGGUGACUACUGACAUCUCUUCUUUGAGUGACUUUCGACCAUCCCACAAAUGUCUGCUCGACGGUGUCCUGGAAGAGCUGGGUCAUGGCUCUCAUUACACACUACUCAGCAUCAUACACCAGGUUGUAUCACACAUCUCAUUCACACUACUGAGCAUCAUACACCAGGCUGUAUCACACUUUGUCCGGACUUCAUGAGUCUUCCAGUACAGUGAUGGGACGUAGGUUUUCUAGACUUGCCUAUGGGCUUCUCCUCUUUCCUAAUGAAGCUUCCACUCAUCCAAACGUCCUUUGAGGAGGAAAUUUAUCCAACUCACUCCACUGCAAAAGCUGGAGAACUGACAAGAUUCUUCCUGACCACUUCAGUGGCUAUGAUUAUAGGCAGUAUUGUGGUUUUCAUUUGCAAAAUGAGGAAUAAAGCUGCAGACAUUUCCAGUACUAGAAAUGGUCUGUUUGUAGCAUGAAGGUGCAUAUUCAUUUCUUUUUCUUUUUUCCUGACCCUUAAUCAUUUAUUACAUUUUUCUCCUGUUAAACAAGCUAUAUAGGCUGAAUACAAAGAAGUUUGAAAACACAGAAAGGUAAAAAAAUUAAAUUAAAUUAAGAUCAUCUGAAAUGUUAACUUCAAGAGAAAGUUAACAACUGUGAGCAUUCUGGUUUGUAUAUUCUUGCAGUCUUAUUUAAUUAAUUGCAUUUAUGUACUUUAAAAAAAGUAGAAUUAUAUUGUAUAUAUGGCUUUGAUUUCUUAAAAAUUAACAUUGUGAACAUGUGCAAGGAGUGUUUCUUAAAUUGCUCUUUCCAUUGUCACUUUUACUGGAGAUUAAAGUCUCAAAGUACAUUUUUUGACUUAGCAGAGGGAGAGCUGAGAUGUCUCAUUAAAGCUUGGCCGAGCGCCUUCUGUUACUGCUUAUUUACAUAAGUAGCUUUCCUAAAAUCAACGGCUCCCAUGAACAAGACAUAUAUAUUAAUGCCUCACAGUCCAAUAUAUGAUGAGAUAAAUGACCACUGCUUCCUUAUAUAAUGCGCACACACUUGCCUGAGACAAGUCAGCUGUUCUGAAACACAAGAUUAGGAAAUUCAAUUUCAUGUAUACAUUUCCAUGAAUCAAAAGUCAAAAUCAAAGGACAACCUUCUGUGUUACAGUGAACUCUGGAAGUAAGUGUAAAUAAGAUAAUAAGAUAUGCCCUACUUUGUUGUCAUCUUUUUUUUUUUUUUUGCUUUUUGUUUUUUGUUUGUUUUGAGAUGGAGUCUCACUCCGUCACCCAGGCUGGAGUGAAGUGGUGCAAUCUCGGCCCACUGCAACCUCCACCUCCUGGGUUCAAGCAAUUCUCAUGCCUCAGCCUCCCAAGUAGCUGUGAUUACAGGCGUGUGCCACCACGCCUAGCUAAUUUUUUGUAUUUUUACUAGAGACAGGGUUUCACCAUGUUGGCCAGGCUGGUCUUGAACUCUUAACCUCAGGUGAUCUGCCUGCUUCAGCCUCCCAAAGUGCUGAGAUUACAGGUGUGAGCCACUACACCUGGCCAGCUAUGCCCCACUUUGAACAAACAUUGCUAGAAUCUGGAAGAAUCUUCUGUUAGCCAAGGAUUGCUUUUGAGGUUCACUCCAAAAACUGAGCUACCACCGGGGACAAAUGGUCUCAUAAUUUUGAGUGUGUAAAGUGCAGCGAUUCCAGCUCAUGAGCACUAAUAUAAUUUUGGAAACAAUAUACCCACAACAGGCAUCGUCUAGAAAACUAACAGGAUCUCUUUUCCACUAGAGUGUAUUGUUGUUGACUAAGUGUUUUCAGUUAUUAAGCUGGAAGAGACAUGCUGGGGAGAAUGCUUUGGAGGAACAAGUAAGCACAGAACACAGAGAAUCAGGAAUGAAGCAUCCACACAGUCCAUCCAAGCAUACUGUGAAUCAAAACACAUGUCAUAGCUGGAACGAAAGCAUUAGGACCAUCUAACUGGAUUCCACUGGAAUGAGUCUCUGUGAAACCAUGCCGAAGUCUUUGUAAACAACCACCCUAAAGAAAGCUACAUGAAGAAUAGCCAAUAACAAAAGCACUGGAUUUAACUCAAUUUUGUGAAAAAACAAAAAAAACAAAUAUGAUGCACACACUCUAUCCUUUUGUGAACAAAAUGCCACCAAACAUUUGAAACUGGCCUAAGCAUACAUUGACAUGUUUGACAUGAAGCCCAGCCUUAUUGAUCAGCCUUUCCAAUACCCCCCGCCCCCCAUUCUUUAUUCCCAAUAGAUACAUCUUCUCACAGUUUCCAUGGCAAGAGGAAAAUAAAAGGCAACUGUUUUGAAAGCAACAACAGUAAACGAAGCAACAUCUCUGGCAAGCAGGCAAACCUUAAAGAGUAAAAGUUAUAAAUCCCCAUGUAGACAAUACCUUGUAGGUAUACCUUCCCCCAACCACGGGGAUGACUCUUAAUGGUGCUGACUAGGUAUAGACACCAACUUGGGACCAGUAAGUUAUUCUUAGAAGGUGCUAACUUUUGUAUUUUCUUUUAGGUUCUUGCUGCUAUGUUUCUCUUUCAAUUGACUUCCAGAAAUCAGACAGUGAAAUCAAUGGGGCUUUCCAGGCCACUGAAUUCAAAGUAAUCAGGGCAGGGUCAGAAUGCUGAUUGACUGUUUUCAACACACAGGGACCUGGAAUUUGGGUUCUAGCUCUAUCCCUCAGCACAGAGUCAGCAGACACAAUGCCCUAGAUGGUUGGAUUUUCUAGUGUCUGUGACAGGCAUCUUCAAAGCUGAUUCCUCUCCCUCUGAGAAAUCAAGGCCACCACCUUUAACUACUGACACAGUAGUGUACUUCCCGUACUGCAACCUCAGUCCCUUUUGUCACUUUUGCUUUGCAUUCAAGUGCCUUGGCCAGUGUUAACUGCAGCACUUUGAUUUCUCUUUCUAUAAAGACUAUCAAGUACCAAGUCAUUUGUUUCUGCAACCAUGUAACCCAAGGACAUAUUCUCCUGGAUGAAAUUCCAAGACCCCCCCCGCCACCAGAAGUCAGUGGAGAAUAGGCACAGAAAAGAUGAUGAAGGUCAUAGUUUCUAAUAAUUUGUUUUCUUUUUAAAAAAAAUUUUUAAUUUUUAUUUUUUUGAGACAGAAUCUCACUCCGUCACCCAGGCUGGGGUAUGGUGGCAUGAUCUCGGCUCACAGCAACCUCUGCCUUCCAGGUUUAAGUGAUUCUCCUGCCUCAGCCUCCUGAGUAGCUGGGAUUACAGCCGCAUGCCACCACGCCCAGCUAAUCGUUUGUAUUUUUAGUAGACACGGGGUUUCACCAUGUUGGCCAGACUGGUCUCGAACUCCUGACCUCAAGCGAUCUACCUGCCUUGGCCUUCCAGAGUGCUGGGAUUACAGGCAUGAGCCACCAAGCCCA